GUUGUAAAACGACGUUAUGCAUGAACGUAAUGCUCAUAACUUCCCUCUAGACCUAGCUGCUGUCGAAGCUCCAUCCAUAAAUGGAUAAGACCCGGUCUUAGUGUAUACGAGUUUUUUUGAAACAAAAAGGAGCAAUAACCUUUUUCUUGGUCUAUCAAGAGGGCGGUAUUGCUCCUUUUUUUAUUUAGUAGUAUUUCACUUACCUAGUUUCUUUAAAUAAAUUUAAAGAAACGUCGUUUUCUUUUUAUCGGUUGGUUCAUGAGUGAGUAUCAUGCUUUCGUUUUGUAUUAAUCAUUAAUCUAUAAUUUAGCUACUUCUUCCCAAUCUUUUGGGAAGUAUUUUCUUAAAAGAAAAGAUAAAAAUGUUGCACUUUUGACUUAGUUAAUACUUAAUCUUUUUAUCUCGAAAAUAAUAAAGAAAUAGAAAAAAUCAUGAAUGUUAAAAAUUUAAUCUUUUGAAACGUAAGGAAUAGUAGGGGGCGGAUGUAGCCAAGUGGAUCAAGGCAGUGGAUUGUGAAUCCACCAUGCGCGCC
rnacentral:misc_RNA from 1 species